GGGCCUGGCUCAAGACCGACGUCCUGGUCAUAGCCUCCGACUACGACUCGGCAGGUCGCAGGUUCUAAUCCUGCCGGGUUCGCCA
rnacentral:tRNA from 1 species